rnacentral:rRNA from 1 species
AUGAACGCUGGCGGCGUGCCUAAUACAUGCAAGUCGAGCGAACGGACGAGAAGCUUGCUUCUCUGAUGUUAGCGGCGGACGGGUGAGUAACACGUGGAUAACCUACCUAUAAGACUGGGAUAACUUCGGGAAACCGGAGCUAAUACCGGAUAAUAUUUUGAACCGCAUGGUUCAAAAGUGAAAGACGGUCUUGCUGUCACUUAUAGAUGGAUCCGCGCUGCAUUAGCUAGUAGGUAAGGUAACGGCUUACCAAGGCAACGAUGCAUAGCCGACCUGAGAGGGUGAUCGGCCACACUGGAACUGAGACACGGUCCAGACUCCUACGGGAGGCAGCAGUAGGGAAUCUUCCGCAAUGGGCGAAAGCCUGACGGAGCAACGCCGCGUGAGUGAUGAAGGUCUUCGGAUCGUAAAACUCUGUUAUUAGGGAAGAACAUAUGUGUAAGUAACUGUGCACAUCUUGACGGUACCUAAUCAGAAAGCCACGGCUAACUACGUG